rnacentral:tRNA from 8 species
GGAGAUGUGCCGGAGCGGCCGAACGGGGCGGUCUCGAAAACCGCUAUACCGCAAGGUAUCGGAGGUUCGAAUCCUCCCAUCUCCGCCC